rnacentral:rRNA from 1 species
UAGGGAAUCUUCGGCAAUGGACGAAAGUCUGACCGAGCAACGCCGCGUGAGUGAAGAAGGUUUUCGGAUCGUAAAACUCUGUUGUUAGAGAAGAACAAGGACGUUAGUAACUGAACGUCCCCUGACGGUAUCUAACCAGAAAGCCACGGCUAACUACGUGCCAGCAGCCGCGGUAAUACGUAGGUGGCAAGCGUUGUCCGGAUUUAUUGGGCGUAAAGCGAGCGCAGGCGGUUUCUUAAGUCUGAUGGGAAAGCCCCCGGCUCAACCGGGAAGGGUCAUUGGAAACUGGGAGACUUGAGUGCAGAAGAGGGGAGUGGAAUUCCAUGUGUAGCGGUGAAAUGCGUAGAUAUAUGGAGGAACACCAGUGGCGAAGGCGGCUCUCUGGGCUGUAACUGACGCUGAGGCUCGAAAGCGUGGGGAGCAAACAGG